CCCGCCCGCCGCGGCCGUUGCAUAACCCGGGCAUGCGCGGGAGCGCGGCGGAAGCGAGUGGCGGGGAAGGGGAGGGGGCCGGAGGCGGGGAGCGGCGGGGGAACCGGGGCAGGGGUCUCCCGGAUCGGCCCGGCCCGGUCCUGGCCCCGCGCUGCUGGCCAGCGGCGCUCCAUCAGCCCCGCGGCCGCCGUGGCGGACGGCGCUCGGGAGAGCGGCUCCCCGGGCACCUGUUGCUCGGGGGUGUUGGGCCGUGCAAGGGCGGCAGAGGAGGUCCCACAGCGCUUCGGUUCCGCCCGGGGAGCCGGGGGUCUCCCGGGCCGGUGCCGCGCCCGGCCUGGCCACAGCUCCUCCGGUGAAGGUGACCGGCUGGCCUGGCCUCUCCCGGCUGAGCGUUUGCUGCUGCUGGAAGGAAACUAGUCCAGAGCAUGUGCCACCAGGAGCCUGGCUGCCAGCAUCCUUGGAGUCAGGGCAGCACAGCAGAACUGAGCACUGCCAGCUCGUGCCCAGCCACACACACAACCCUCCCUCCCCAACGAGAAGAGAGAGGAAAAGCAGAAGGGGAACAAGGUACUUCCAGAACUUAUUUAAUAUAAACUAAAAGUUUGGCCAGACAAGAAGACAAUAGAAAAUAAGUUAAAUUUAUGGAAAAACAAAAUUACUGUGGAAAGCAGGUAGAUUAAGCUAGACUUAAAGAGCAAUUAAUCAAAGACACAAGGCAAACAAAGUGGUUUUUUCAUCCACCAGCAGCAGAAAGCAUGCAGGAUUCAUCAAUCUUCUACUUCAACACUGAGACACGUGUUCCAGAGUUCCCAGAUGUUGGUUGUGUAAGGGAAGGGUUAAUAGCAGUUGGUAUUAAAGUCAGUGACUCAUUAUCCAACCUGAACAGAGGCGAAUUAGGAGUGGCUCCCUCAAAGGAAGGAACUGAACAGUCAUUAGGAAGAACUAACGAAUAACCAUGUCAGAGCAAGAGCAGAGAUGAAUGUUAUCAGUUUAGUCUUGGUUCCUCUGUUAAGGAAGGUCAGUCCCACAGCAAGAUGAGCAUGGACACAGCCUGUGGAACAGACUAGCCACUGGGACCUGAAAGCCUGGUGUAUCUUGCUGUGGACCUGCUGCCCCAGAAGUUCCCUGUUCUUGCUGCUGUAGAAGAGCUCCCAGCCUUCUACACUGCCAGGUCUACAAGUGGCUGUGGGCUCACCCUGCAGGCAAGUGCUUUUCUGCAUUGCUACUUCAGCACUCACAGUUCUAGGCAUGCAGGUCACUUAGUCGAAAAAAGUUGCAAAAAUAAAAGAAAUUGAAGAAAAAAUGUUGAGGUUUAAAAAAGUGUUGGGGAUAAAGUCUGUCACUUAUUGCAAUCGUGCUCUGAUUUUGUAUCAUUGUAUUUUCUACCACCUGUGACAUCCCUUUCUUGUCUCUUACGUUGCUGCAAUUAAACUAUACACCAUCACACAACAUUCAUAGAAGGAGGUUUUUCAUGUUCAGAUAUCUCCACAAAAUAUCAACAAGAACCAUCUUGCUUGAGCAAUAACUUUUUUCAAAUCUCUGUGAUACUUCGGAUGGAACAUUUUUCUCUUAGGACAAAGAUGUGCAUGUAGAAGGCACACGCUGAGUUUAUUUAUAUAAAUAAAUACUUAAAACAUUUAUUGGUCUCUGCAUCAGCUCUCUAGGGACCACCAAUUCAAAGAAAAGAUGAUUCAAAAGGUAGCAUACUUUACUAGAGCCACUGCUAUGCUCAAACUCAAAAUUUCUGAUUGUCCAUAGAGGCCAACCCUUGAGGGGUUUGGCCCUGGACAUAUGUGGGGUAAAUGAUGGUGUUGCUCCAGCAAAGUUUUAGGGCAAGAACAUGACUGGCAGCGAGUCCUCUGAGUGCCUGGGAGAAGCAGGCUGGAGGAGGAGGAGGGGGCAAUGACGCUGGCUGAAAGAAUUCCUCCUUUCAGAGAACAAGCAGUGCUUUCACAGCAGUGGAUGCUCAGCCACAGCACACACUACACAGAUUACAUCGGGGCCAUUUGCUGCCUUUGAUUAGUUUUAAGAAACAAAAGCAUGAAAAUUUUAAGUUCUAAACUUGAAUUUUCAAGAGAAAAAGCAUAAAUAAUAAGGGCAUUAUGGAGCAGGCAGUGGGAGCUGGUGGGGAGCGGUAGCACUGCAGCUUCAAAAACCUGGAACAGUAGUGUGCUGUUCCUGUGGCAGUUGUGUGAGACAUACAAAAAGUGAUAUUCAAAGCCUAUCCUACUGCAGUUUUUGCAGGACCAUUAAUAUGAUGAUGAAAAGAUACUAGUAGAAUGCUGCAUAAUAAUAUGAUGAAAAGAUACUAAUAGAAUGCUGCAGGUUGAUAUUAUAACAGAUAAGAUGCGCUUGCCAGUGGUAUGGCGAGAGCAUAUCUGAGCUAAAAUACAUCUACUGUGGCCAUUUCAGAAGAGCAACUAUUUACACUCCCAACACUUUAAAAACGCAUCAUUUUUGUUGGCAUUUAUGAAAUUAACACAAGUAUCUCAGGCAUGAAAGAAACAGAUUUAGCUUCCUAAAUGUGGGUAGGGCUGCCUGGUUUGGGAAUACCAUCCAUGCCAGACCUUCGCUUUCAGUCUGCUACAGCAGCUGAAUUCUUCAUCUUGCCCAAGUGCACAGCAGCACGGUCUGCCAGCGUGCCACACGUAGAUGUGGAUCACUUUGUUCUUUGUCUUACCAUGGUCUGCCCGUAUUUCACCCCUGCAGUUCUUGCUACAGAGUCUGAAAAGGAAGUAUAAAAAUCCCCCUAAAUUUAUUUGAAUUGCAAAGUAUAAAGUUCUGGUGCUGUGCCUGCUUGAAUCAGCACACAGGAUGAAAUGAGGUCCAUAAAUCCAGUGUUUUCAAAGUAGUAGCCUGGACACAAGGGAUACUUUGUGCUGUUGCCUUUCCUGUCGCAUAAUGGCUCUGCCAUGUCCAUCCCAGAGGCACAGCCACCACUCCU